UGAUAGAGUCCCAGGCAGAUGGCGCAGGUCAGCUUCUCCUCCAGUAGCUGCACGGCCAUGGCCCGCUGGCGGUGGGAGCCAGGCGGGCCCCGGAAUUCUCAAAGGGACAGCCGGCCUCGCGUACUGAGGGCGCCCGGGCGUGGCUAACGCGGGGCGGGGCGAGGCCAGGUCCCCGCCCCGGAAGCCGGGCCCUUCUCCGACACCUUCGACCAGCGACCUCCGCAGGGGCCUAGGCCACCCCUGCCCGCCUCGGCCUGGGCCGUUCGAAAGCUCCGCGUUCCGGCAUUGCGCCCCUCCCUCCCUCUAGGCACCGCGCCACCCCGGCUGAGAGCUGGGUUCGGCUCUCUCGGGUCCCAGCCUGGCGGGUCCAUCCCACCCCCGUGGGCCUUCAGCCCAGGUCCUGGAGACCAGAGGCUCGAAAAUCCCGCCCCGCCUCCGGGCUUCUGACCACGGGUCGCGCGGAACCUCUUCUGGACUCAUCUGUCAAUGGCCUAAGGGCAUAGACCACCCGCGCAAUCCCCCGGGGCUCGGCGACGAAACGAAAGUCAGUGCACGUGGGCUGGCGGGCUCCCUGCAGACCCGAGCACUGCUGCACUUUUUCCUGGAGCUGGGUUUCGGGCACUUGCCAGACUGGGGUGUCUUCCUUCUCUGGGCUACACGUAAUUUUGGUUAUUUUAAAGUAAACAGCGAGAUGGAAAUGUCUGGUCACCAACAGACAGGGACCAGUUAACUGGUAUUUUUCAAAUGGCCCUUGAAUGAGUACACAAACCAGCUUUCAGCUGCAAUCAGCAUCCCCUCUCCCUGCUGCCCUCUGCUGGGGAGUUUCUUGCCUGGGGUCCGAGCUGAUCUGCAGCCUCAGUAUUUAGAGGCACUCCAGCAUUUCCCCUGCAGCUGAGCAGGCAAGGCGGGUCUGGGGCCUAGCGCCCACCUCCCUGGCAGUGUGUAUCAGGCCAGGGGGAACCCCAGGAGAGCAAGGCCUUUCUAUCUAACCAAGCUCGGCUGAUGUUGCGGCGGCACGAGCUCUCACUGCUGCAGCAAGCACUGCGUCCUGUGUGCGGCCACCGGCGAAGUUUCUGGAAAAAGUGCACGGAUCUACCCUCCACCUACUAGUUAGCCAGACUUCUGCUUUUGGACAGAGGAGGCAGCCAAGCUCUGUGAAUGCCUGGACAUACUGCAAACAUGGGAAGCCGGCUGGAGGAGCUCCGAGUGGGGGACAGGGCUCCAGAGAGCGUCGCCUUGACAGCAAGGCCAUGCAGCCUGCUUCCAGGCCUGGGAGCCAGGGGGCCAGCCACAGUCACUGAGGCUAGAAAGCCAUGCCACUUUUGGCUGCUUUUCCCUCUGCGUCCUGAAGUCUCCAGGACCUCGUCAGGGAUUGUGUGCCCAGCCUGGCACAGGGACGGGCAAUGCCUCAGGCAUAACUCCCCAGAGGGUCCUGCUGCACAGGUUGGUAACUGCAGUUGAAUAAAAAUGACAGAAACCAGCCUCCCA